UACGAAGGACCCGAGCGUUAUCCGGAUUUACUGGGUUUAAAGGGUGCGUAGGUGGACCUAUAAGUCAGUGGUGAAAUCCUACAGCUUAACUGCAGAACUGCCAUUGAUACUGUUGGUCUUGAGUAUAGUUGAGGUAGGCGGAAUAUGUCAUGUAGUGGUGAAAUACUUAGAUAUGACAUAGAACACCGAUUGCGAAGGCAGCUUGCUAAGCUAUAACUGACACUGAUGCACGAAAAGCGUGGGGGAGCAAACAGG
rnacentral:rRNA from 1 species